UCUAGCUUUCACAAGAACAAUGUCUGGUACCGGAAGCAUUUUCAACCUAAGCAAGAAUAACCAGAAAAACAGGGACAAAAAAAUCUCUGAGCCAACAAUUACAUGUCAUCAGUGCAAGAUCUCAGUAAAGAAUACCGUCGCUAAGGUAUACAGAUCUCGACAAACGCUACAAUUCUGCAGCUCAAACUGUCACAUGACAUGGAUGAGACAGAACAACAACAACAACACCAACACAACCAACACCCUGGGUCCGUCCUCACCUCUCUUCAGAAAGUGUUGACUAGCACUCGGUGUCACGUGAUCCUUAUUAUACACGUGUUACGUCACGUGUUACGUCACGUGAUGCUAAUACCGCUUGUUCUGAUGUCUUGUUAGGUGCAUUGACUUGCGACUUCCAAUCUUGCGUUGUCGUCCUAUGAUUUUAUAGGUGGACUGUUAGGACUUUUAUUUAUUGUGAUGAUAGUUGUAAGUAGAAUUGUCUUGUUGUGACAGAAAAAGAAGAGGCAUCUACCUCGACUUGAAAGGAAGGAAUUUGCUACUAAUAAGUUGCCAUUUUAAUAUACAGUUUUUAGAUAUUGACUGAAAUUUAACCAGUUUUUACCUUUUUAAAAUUCAGAUUUUACAGCAAACGAUGUUUUACAGACAUUUUCUUUGAUGUAAAUUAUAAUUCUAACGGGAAGAUUGAGAUCCUAUAA